UGCAGUCGAGCGAGAACCAGUCCUUCGGGACUGGGGAAAGCGGCGAACGGGUGAGUAACACGUGGGUAAUCUGCCCUCGGCACUGGGAUAGCCCGGGGAAACCCGGAUUAAUACCGGAUGGCCUUUCGAGUCUUCGGACUCGUUCAGAAAAGGUGGCUUCGGCUACUGGCUGAGGAGGAGCCCGCGGCGGAUUAGCUUGUUGGUGAGGUAACGGCCCACCAAGGCGACGAUCCGUAGCUGGUCUGAGAGGACGAUCAGCCACACUGGGACUGAGACACGGCCCAGACUCCUACGGGAGGCAGCAGUGGGGAAUCUUGCGCAAUGGGCGAAAGCCUGACGCAGCGACGCCGCGUGCGGGAAGAAGGCCUUCGGGUUGUAAACCGCUUUCAGGAGGGACGAAGCCACUCGGGUUAAUACCCCAGAGGGUGACGGUACCUCCAGAAGAAGCCCCGGCUAACUACGUGCCAGCAGCCGCGGUAAUACGUAGGGGGCAAGCGUUGUCCGGAUUUAUUGGGCGUAAAGAGCGUGUAGGCGGCCAGGUAGGUCAGCUGUGAAAACUCGAGGCUCAACCUCGAGAUGUCGGCUGA
rnacentral:rRNA from 1 species